CUGAAGUCUCCUUGCCAAUGGAAUAUCUGAGGUAUGUCAGUGGGACAUAGACUUCCGAGAACCAGGAAAUCCAGAGCUACGGCACAUCAGCCCACCCUGAAUUCUGUCCUGUUUGAGCAGUGAUUCAGUCUUCCCAUGCAAUACGUACGCAGGACCACACACAUCAUUCCUGACACAGAGCAGCUGACGGCUGUAGCACAGCUCUGUUAAAGGAAAACCUGCGUUCAGGCAAUUGCUACUGACUUCAGAAGAAGAAAACCAGGCCUUGAUUAUGGUGAAGACUGUAACGUGGAG